rnacentral:rRNA from 1 species
ACGCUCGACACCUACGGGAUGCAGCAGUGGGGAAUAUUGCACAAUGGGGGAAACCCUGAUGCAGCGACGCCGCGUGAAGGAAGAAGUAUUUCGGUAUGUAAACUUCUAUCAGCAGGGAAGAAAAUGACGGUACCUGACUAAGAAGCCCCGGCUAACUACGUGCUAGCAGCCGCGGUAAUCUGAGCGGGCUGGCAAGGC